rnacentral:lncRNA from 1 species
CCUUAUGUGAGAUACCUUUUGUGCAACUGGGAGAAGGCACUAACAAGUUGCUUGGUGCAAUUGAAUUCAUCAAAGGGUCAAAGUUAACACCAGACGAGAAACUUGUUGAACCGCGAAUGUACGCCAAAGUCACCAAGAAAUGCCAAACACAAUACGAGGUUCGACGCUGAAGCUCGUGACGAGAGCUUCACGAAAUCAGGUGGGGGAGAAUGUCACAUCCCGCAGAAAGUUCUAGAGGAUAUUCCCGCAGGCAUUUAUGGAAAGCUUACUUAUCAACUCUCGGGAGAUUGUUGACUAAGGUCGCACGGUGGAGCUUUAGACAUUUCUAAGGUCGUGACAAGAUGCUAAUGUUGCAAAAUCAGCGCGCACACAAUCUCACACUAAGAUAACACACACAACAGGAUAAAUUAAAAGGACACGAAUAAAAUGUACGUAAAAAAACUAAAAAGAAUGGCUAAAUUUCAUAUCUAUUGCUUCAAGUUCCC